rnacentral:rRNA from 1 species
UACGUAGGGGGCAAGCGUUGUCCGGAUUUAUUGGGCGUAAAGCGCGCGUAGGCGGUUCGAUAAGUCCCGUGUGAAAUCCCUCGGCUCAACUGAGGAAUGGCACGGGAAACUGACGGGCUUGAGUUCGGGAGAGGGAAGCGGAAUUCCGGGUGUAGCGGUGAAAUGCGUAGAUAUCCGGAGGAACACCGGUGGCGAAGGCGGCUUCCUGGACCGACACUGACGCUGAGGCGCGAAAGCUAGGGGAGCAAACGGG